GACGAACGCUGGCGGCGUGCCUAAUACAUGCAAGUCGAACGCUUCUUUCCUCCCGAGUGCUUGCACUCAAUUGGAAAGAGGAGUGGCGGACGGGUGAGUAACACGUGGGUAACCUACCCAUCAGAGGGGGAUAACACUUGGAAACAGGUGCUAAUACCGCAUAACAGUUUAUGCCGCAUGGCAUAAGAGUGAAAGGCGCUUUCGGGUGUCGCUGAUGGAUGGACCCGCGGUGCAUUAGCUAGUUGGUGAGGUAACGGCUCACCAAGGCCACGAUGCAUAGCCGGCCUGAGAGGGUGAUCGGCCACACUGGGACUGAGACACGGCCCAGACUCCUACGGGAGGCAGCAGUAGGGAAUCUUCGGCAAUGGACGAAAGUCUGACCGAGCAACGCCGCGUGAGUGAAGAAGGUUUUCGGAUCGUAAAACUCUGUUGUUAGAGAAGAACAAGGGCGUUAGUAACUGAACGUCCCCUGACGGUAUCUAACCAGAAAGCCACGGCUAACUACGUG
rnacentral:rRNA from 1 species